AAAUCUAUCUUUAUCUUUACUUUGAUUCCUUCCAGCCGUUUAAUUUUCCGUUAGUUAUUGCGUCACUAAAUCCAUACACGAUUACUUUCUAAAUACAAUACUAAUAUAUAGGUAAACACAAAACAAUGGCUACCAACAUAGAGAGAAAGAAGGAAACUUGAUAGAGAAUGAAGAAGGCAAAUGACCACUUCUCCUUAUAUAAUCAGCUCUCUCCGAUGUCCUCGCCGCCAUCUCGUUCAGCUUCGCCUCCGCAUUUGCUCUCCUCUCUUCCGCUAUUCUCUUUGUGGCCGCCAGCUUGUUCGCCAACUUCUCCUCCGCCCUCGCUUUCAUCCUCUCCGCCUUCACCUACACACACAUUCACACCUUUUUCUCAAACUUCUUAAAUUUUAAGAUAUUUAUUAAUUUUCAAAGAAAUAUUCACUUAAAUAUUGAAUCCAAACCAACACCAAAACCGGUUUAACCGAUCCACAAUAUAUUUGAUGAUAAUCUUACCUCCAUUUUUUUCAUCUCCAUCUCGGCCUUUCUCUUCUCAUGAUUCUCCCAAGCCUGUAUCUUCACUUCCUCUCUCUUAUACCUAACCACAUUCCAGCAAUAAUCAAACCUCAAAACACUGGUAUAUAACGAAGCCACGUUAACACUAAUUAAAUCAUUCGUUAAUCAAUUAAUUAGUGUUAAUCACCUAGCCAUGAACUUAGAGCGUUCUGCUUCAUCCCAAGCCAUGGCUCGAGCUUCCAUAGCAUUCAUCGCCUUAGUAUUACUAUUAUCUCCUAAUCCAAUGUUUUCAUUAUUAUUACUCGCCACGCUUCUAGUCUCCGUCACGGUCGCCACCUCCGUCGCCAUUCUCACCGUCUCUCCGCGGCGAGAAGCUCUCACCGGUGACGUCACAGGACUUCUCCCGACCGGCGUUGUGGCUCGCACAGGCGUAGCUGUUCUAGAAGGCUCCUGGCUCCCGAUCGGAGUCAUCUCAGUCCCCAUGUCCCUCACGCAAACCGAUCGAAUCGCAGCCGUUGGAUUAAUACUCUCUUUCCUCCAAACCGAACCACCUGCUUCUCCACAUGAAGGGACAUCGUACCUCGAUGCCUCCGACUUCGCAAAUGAGCUGGACUAGAUUACUCCUGAAGAGAGCCAAAAUGCGUAUAAUAAGACUAUUGAAUAGUUUUCAAUGUUGUCAUGUAUAAUUAUUAAAUUUCCUGUUUUAAAAAAAAAUAAUGAUGUUUUAACAUCACCUUAUUGUAUAAUUAUUGUGUGUUUCCUUAUAUGAUUAUUAUAUGAAUUAAUUUUAUGUUUUUCUUUUAUUAAUAUUUAUGACAAUUUCAGAAAUGGAUCAAAAUGCUAAUGGAGCAAAAUCCAAGAAACGGAUUCGUGAAAUAUGCAUACCAGAUAGUGGAACAACGCACACUAUUCUGAGACAAAAGAGAUAUUUCUCUGAUAUAAAACCGACAAGAAUUGUCGUCAAUACAAUAUCAGGUCCUGCAGACGUGAUUGAAGGAACUGGUAAAGCAAACUUUACUUUGCCGAAUGGAACAAAAUUUUCCAUAAAUAAUGCUCUAUAUUCUCCAAGUUCUAAAAGGAAUUUGUUGAGUUUUAAAGACAUAUAUCUUCACGGAUAUGAUACUCAGUCUGCAACUGAGGAUGGAAAGAAAUACAUGUAUGUAACUUCUGAGAAAUGUGGCAGAAAACACAUAUUGGAAAAGUUUCCAGAACUUCCUUCGGGACUACAUCAUACUUAUAUCGAUGAGAUCGAAUCAAAUCUUGUAGUAAAACGGAACCCAGAAGAGUUCACAUUAUGGCAUGAUCGCCUUGGCCAUCCAGGCACUACAAUGAUGCGUAAAAUCAUAGAAAGUUCACAUGGUCAUCCACUGAAAAUCCAGGAGAUUUCUCAAGGGAAUAAAAUGACAUGUGUUGCAUGUUCUCUAGGAAAAUUGAUCGUAAGGCCAUCGCCAACCAAAAUCGAUAAAGAAUCACCAAAGUUCCUUGAAAGAAUUCAAGGCGAUAUAUGUGGACCUAUACACCCACCUUGUGGACCAUUCCACUAUUUUAUGGUAUUAAUUGACGCAUCCAGUAGAUGGUCACACGUUUGUCUAUUAUCAUCUCGAAAUGUGGCAUUUGCGAGAUUUCUAACUCAGAUAAUCAAACUGCGAGCACAGUUUCCUGAUUAUACUAUUAAAAGAGUUAGACUAGACAACGCUGGUGAAUUCACAUCCCAAGCAUUCAAUGACUAUUGUAUGGUAAUGGGAAUUGAAGUUGAACAUUCGGUUGCUCAUGUUCAUACGCAAAAUGGUUUGGCUGAAUCUUUAAUUAAGCGUCUGCAAUUGAUUGCAAGACCAUUGAUCAUGAGAUCAAAACUUCCAACCUCUGUAUGGGGACAUGCCAUUUUGCAUGCAGAAGCACUCAUUCGGAUCAGACCGAGUGCAUACCAUAAGUAUUCCCCACUACAGUUAGCGUUUGGUCGAGAACCAAACAUUUCCCACUUUAGAAUCUUUGGUUGUGCGGUAUAUGUGCCUGUAGCACCACCACAACGUACAAAGAUGGGACCACAAAGAAGAUUGGGAAUAUAUGUUGGUUUUGAUUCCCCAUCAAUUAUAAGAUACCUAGAACCACAGACUGGUGACGUCUUUACAGCACGUUUUGCUGAUUGUCAUUUUGACGAAAAUGUAUUCCCAGUUCUAGGGGGAGAAAACAAAAAUGUUGGAAGUGAUAUAAAAUGGAGUGUACCAUCAUUGUUAUAUCUUGAUCCUCCUACUAAAGAGUCAGAACUAGAAGUUCGACGAAUUAUGCAUUUACAGAGUAUAGCUAACCAGCUACCUGAUGCAUUUGUAGAUACCAAGACGGUAACUAAAUCUCAUAUACCAGCUGCAAAUGCUCCUGCUCGUAUCAAAAUGCCAAAUGAACAAGAAAAGGAGGAUGACACACGAGAGCCAAAAACACGCCUGAAGCGUGGUAGACCUGUUGGUUCUAAGGAUAAGAAUCCUAGGAAACAGAAGAAAGCUGAAAUAUAUGAUGCACCCAAAAUAGCAGAAAAUAUUUUGGAAGAAAUAAAUGAUAAGGAUUCUGAUGAAUCAGAGCAUCAUGAAUCAGAGCAUCAUGAAUCGAAAGAUAAUCAUGAGAUUUCUAUUAAUUACAUCCAUAAUAAAAGGAUAUGGAAUAGAAAUGAACAAAAUGACCUUGAUGAUGCUUUCUCAUAUAUUGUGUCAAGUGAAAUAAAUGAAGAAAUCGAUGAUCCAGAACCAAAAUCUGUCUAUGAAUGUCAAAAGAGACAUGAUUGGGAACAAUGGAAAAAUGCAAUACAAGCUGAACUUGAUUCGCUUAAUAAACGAAAAGUAUUUGGAUCUAUUGUGCUCACACCUGCAGAUGUGAGACCAGUUGGGUACAAAUGGGUUUUCGUUCGAAAGCGAAAUGAGAAAAAUGAGAUUACGAGAUACAAAGCUCGUCUAGUGGCUCAAGGUUUUUCUCAAAGACCUGGAAUCGAUUAUGAAGAAACGUAUUCUCCAGUUAUGGAUGCCAUUACAUUUAGAUUCCUGAUGAGUCUAGCAGCUGAUAAAAAUCUAGAGAUGCGUCUCAUGGAUGUUGUUACAGCUUAUCUAUAUGGAUCAUUAGAUACUGAUAUCUACAUGAAAGUUCCUGAUGGAUUUAAAAUGCCAGAAGCAUUAAGUUCCAAACCUAAAGAGUUAUGUGCAAUAAAAUUGCAAAGAUCAUUAUAUGGGUUAAAGCAAUCUGGACGUAUGUGGUAUAAUCGUCUCAGUGAUCAUUUAACAAAAGAAGGAUAUGUGAAUGAUCCUAUAUGCCCAUGUGUUUUCAUCAAGAAAACAAUAUCCGGAUUUGUAAUAAUCGCGGUAUAUGUUGAUGAUCUUAACAUUAUCGGAACUCAAAAGGAAAUACAAAAGGCAUCAGACUAUCUCAAAGGAGAAUUUGAGAUGAAAGAUCUUGGACAGACACAGUAUUGUCUUGGCCUACAAAUAGAACAUUCACAAAAUGGUAUAUUUGUGCAUCAAUCCACAUACACUAAAAGAGUGUUGAAACGAUUUAACAUGGAUAAAUCAACUCCUCUUAGCACCCCGAUGGUCGUUAGGUCACUUAAUAUUGAAAGUGAUCCAUUUCGACCACCUGAGGAGAAAGAAGAGAUACUUGGUCCGGAAGUACCAUAUCUAAGUGCAAUUGGAGCGCUGAUGUACCUUGCAAAUUGUACACGGCCUGAUAUAUCAUUUGCUGUGAAUCUUUUGGCAAGAUUCAGCUCAUCUCCAACUCGAAGACAUUGGAAUGGGAUUAAACAUGUUUUUCGUUACCUCCAAGGGACCAUUGAUUUAGGCUUGUUUUAUCCUAAAAGUUCAAAAGGUCAAAUGGUUGGUUUUGCAGAUGCAGGAUAUCUUUCAGAUCCACACAAAGCCCGAUCGCAAACAGGAUACGUUUUUACGAUCGGAGGCACUGCUAUAUCUUGGCGUUCCCAGAAACAAACGCUCGUGGCUACUUCUUCAAAUCAUGCUGAGAUCAUUGCACUCCAUGAAGCAAGUAGAGAAUGUGUAUGGCUGAGAUCAAUGAGCCGACACAUCUGUUCAAGCAGCGGGAUUGGCGAAAAUACGGAGCCAACUAUUCUAUAUGAAGAUAAUGCAGCAUGUGUUGCUCAAACAAAGGACGGAUAUAUCAAAAGCGAUAGAACGAAGCAUAUUCAUCCGAAGUUCUUCUCAUACACUCAAGAGCUCGAGAAGAAUAAAGAGAUUGAAGUAAGAUAUGUUCGAUCAUGCGACAAUGCAGCCGACCUCUUCACAAAAUCACUACCUACCUCGGUAUUCAGAAAACACAUCCAUAACAUUGGGAUGCGCCAUCAGAAGGAUCUAUGACUGCUCAUUCGAGGGGGAGCUUACGUAGUUGUACUCUUUUUACCUUACUAUGGUUUUUCCCAUUGGGUUUUCCUGGAAAGGUUUUUAACGAGGCAACAAAGACGUUAAGCGGGAGCGGAUAGUGACACCGGCCCCCAAGGGGGAGUGUUACGAAAGUCAAAGAAAAAAAACAGCAGCCACCGCAAUUGUUGAAAAUAUAAAGAUGUGGGGCCCACUGCACUAUUUGCACAGUAAAUUUCUUUCUAUAUAUACGAACGUUUCGUUCAUUGUAGAUCGCAUCCCUCAACCUUCUCUUCUCUCUAUAAUAAACUCUUUCUAUCAGUGUUAAAGAUUCUACGGAUAUAAAUCUUGCCCUUAUUUAAAUUCCCGCGAUACAAUAAAAUUCCACUUCUUUUUAUAACAAUAUAUAUAUAUAUUGUUCCGGAAAUCUAAAGUCAGUACUCAUAAGCAACAAAAUGUCAUGCUACCUAUUGUAGCGAUUAUAACAGAUUCAUUUCUUUGACGAUAUCGACAAAAGCAAACACAAAUCCCAAACAGACAAUGAAUACACUAUUAUAGUUUUUUUGUUAAAUGUUAUUUUGAUCAAAUCUAUCUUUAUCUUUACUUUGAUUCCUUCCAGCCGUUUAAUUUUCCGUUAGUUAUUGCGUCACUAAAUCCAUACACGAUUACUUUCUAAAUACAAUACUAAUAUAUAGGUAAACACAAAACAAUGGCUACCAACAUAGAGAGAAAGAAGGAAACUUGAUAGAGAAUGAAGAAGGCAAAUGACCACUUCUCCUUAUAUAAUCAGCUCUCUCCGAUGUCCUCGCCGCCAUCUCGU
rnacentral:lncRNA from 1 species